rnacentral:rRNA from 1 species
GACAGAGGAGGCAAGCGUUGUUCGGAAUCACUGGGCUUAAAGCGCGUGUAGGCGGCUUGGUAAGUGUCUUGUGAAAUCCCCCGGCUCAACCGGGGAACAGCUGGGCAUACUGCCAGGCUUGAGGCAGGUAGGGGUCACUGGAACUCUAGGUGGAGCGGUGAAAUGCGUAGAUAUCUAGAGGAACGCCCGGGGCGAAAGCGGGUGACUGGGCCUGUCCUGACGCUGAGACGCGAAAGCGUGGGGAGCAAACGGG